UACGUAGGUGGCAAGCGUUGUCCGGAAUUAUUGGGCGUAAAGAGCUCGUAGGCGGUCCGGCGCGUCGAAUGUGAAAACCCGGGGCUCAACUCCGGGCUUGCAUUCGAUACGGGCGGACUAGAGUUCGGUAGGGGAGACUGGAAUUCCUGGUGUAGCGGUGAAAUGCGCAGAUAUCAGGAGGAACACCGGUGGCGAAGGCGGGUCUCUGGGCAGUAACUGACGCUGAGGAGCGAAAGCGUGGGGAGCAAACAGG
rnacentral:rRNA from 1 species